rnacentral:rRNA from 1 species
GACGGGUGAGUAAUGCCUGGGAAUAUGCCCUGAUGUGGGGGAUAACCAUUGGAAACGAUGGCUAAUACCGCAUAAUCUCUUCGGAGCAAAGAGGGGGACCUUCGGGCCUCUCGCGUCAGGAUUAGCCCAGGUGGGAUUAGCUAGUUGGUGAGGUAAAGGCUCACCAAGGCGACGAUCCCUAGCUGGUCUGAGAGGAUGAUCAGCCACACUGGAACUGAGACACGGUCCAGACUCCUACGGGAGGCAGCAGUGGGGAAUAUUGCACAAUGGGGGAAACCCUGAUGCAGCCAUGCCGCGUGUAUGAAGAAGGCCUUCGGGUUGUAAAGUACUUUCAGCAGUGAGGAAGGUGGUGUCGUUAAUAGCGGCAUUGCUUGACGUUAGCUGCAGAAGAAGCACCGGCUAACUCCGUGCCAGCAGCCGCGGUAAUACGGAGGGUGCGAGCGUUAAUCGGAAUUACUGGGCGUAAAGCGCAUGCAGGCGGUCUGUUAAGCAAGAUGUGA